AGAGCAGUAGCUCAAUUGGUAGAGUAGCGGUCUCCAAAACCGUUGGUUGGGGGUUCGAUUCCCUCCUGCUCUGCCA
rnacentral:tRNA from 1 species